CAAUUAAUUAAAUAAACAGAAAUAUUAAAUACUGAUUCAUUUAUGCUCUAAAAUUAUUAGCCUAGAUCGUUUGCACUUGGUGAUGGAAAUGCAGUAUCUGGAAGGGAAAUAGAACAAGACACCUCUUAUCACUGGGCUUAUCAUAUACACAACUAGCAGCCAUCUGUCACAUUGUCAAAGAAACAAACACCGAGGAGCACAUCCCUUCAAAACCAGCAUUUUACUGAAGAAGUUCGGCCAUCCCUACAGCUUGAUUUCUUCCCUGUCUGUUUAGCUUUCUUUUUGCAUCAUGGAUAUUAAUCAUAAAUCUGGAGAGGCCACCCAAUCUGUAAAGCAUUUGCCUCAAAAGUAUGAAGACAUGAAUUAGAUUCUCAGAACUGAGGUGAUGUACUACAGACAAGGACGCAAAGAACUGCAACCUCGAUGCUGGGGAAGCAGAGUCAGGAAGAAUGCAUGGGCUGACUGCACAGCUUUCUACCCUAUUUGGUGAACUCCGGACCUGUGAGACACCUUAUCUCGGGGAAAAAAAGAGGUUGUUCCUGAAGAAAUGACAUCUGCACCUGUUACGUGUCUUCCUUGCACCUGUGCACACAUACACACACACACAAAAUCAGUAGAUAUGU